rnacentral:lncRNA from 10 species
CUGGGAUGCCCCUGUCCCCAGCCUCUUCAACCUGACACAAGUUUGCAUUCUAUGCUCUCUUUCUUUGGAACAAGGAUUGACUCCUAAGUGGCAUCUGGAGAAGGCCGAGCUUCCUGCAGGGACCUGAAGAGGAAGCCAUGAUGACCUUGUUGAAUCCAGCCAUUCUGCAAGUGCCUGUUUUGACUUUAGGGAUGGAAGUCCUUCCAGGCAUGCCAAGAGGGAAGGAAACAUGGCAGGUGCACUGGCUUUGAAGUUGCCGUGGUGGUUGCAAUCCUGCAUCUGUCUGUUCCUGAUGGGGUGACCUCAGGUAGAGGAAAAUGUGAUUUGGAGACAUAGACACACAUGGAGUGUGACGAUGGAGGCAGCGAGUGGAGCGAUGCAGCUGCCAGCUGAGGAGUGCCAAGGGUUGAUGGUCACCAUCGGAAGCUAGAGGAGGCAAGGGGGGCUCUGUCUGGAGUCUCAGAGGGACAGCAGCCUUGAUUUUGGACUUCUUGCCUCCAGAAAGGUGAGACAAUACAUUUCCGUUGUUUUAAGCCUCCUGGUUUGUGUUACUUUGUUGUGGCAGCCCCAGGGACUCUGAGUUGAUAUUCUGU